rnacentral:rRNA from 1 species
AUUGAACGCUGGCGGCAUGCCUUACACAUGCAAGUCGAACGGCAGCACGGGAGCAAUCCUGGUGGCGAGUGGCGAACGGGUGAGUAAAGCAUCGGAACGUACCUGGUAGUGGGGGAUAGCCCGGCGAAAGCCGGAUUAAUACCGCAUACGACCUGAGGGUGAAAGCGGGGGAUCGCAAGACCUCGCGCUAUUGGAGCGGCCGAUGUCAGAUUAGCGAGUUGGUGGGGUAAAGGCCUACCAAGGCGACGAUCUGUAGCGGGUCUGAGAGGACGACCAGCCACACUGGGACUGAGACACGGCCCAGACUCCUACGGGAGGCAGCAGUGGGGAAUUUUGGACAAUGGGCGCAAGCCUGAUCCAGCCAUGCCGCGUGCAGGAAGAAGGCCUUCGGGUUGUAAACCGCUUUUGUCAGGGAAGAAAUCUUCUGGGUUAAUACCUCGGGAGGAUGACGGUACCUGAAGAAUAAGCACCGGCUAACUACGUGCCAGCCGCCGCGGUAAUAC